rnacentral:rRNA from 1 species
AUGUUGUUGUGGUCCCACCUAGAUUUUUCUAUUAGUUGUAUAGUUAAGCUGAAAUCUACUGGUCACACUUUUAGGGUGAUUACUGUUUAUGGCUCUCCUUAUGAAGAAGGAAAAGAAGCCUUUAUUUCUGAGCUUCAUACUUUAUUUUUAGAUAUUCACACUCCCACCCUGAUUGGGGGUGAUUUCAAUUUAGUUAGGAAUGCUGAAGAUAAAAGUAAUGGGUCUAUCAAUCAUAAAUGGAGUGACAACUUCAAUGCCUGGAUUGAGAUCUGGAGUUUACUUGAAAUUAGGCUCUCUUCUAGGAAAUUUACUUGGGCCAAUAAUCAAGUUGACUUGAUUAUGUCCACCAUUGACAGAAUUUUCUGUGACACAGAACUAGAUGGUUUUUCCCCUCUUUCUAGUUGUAGAGCUCUACCCAGAUGUGGUAGUGACCACACCCCUCUGCUCUGGGACUCUGGUCUUAAUCAAGCCCCUAAGAGUAAUAGUUUUAAAUUUGAAAAGUGGUGGCUCCUUAGAGAAGAUUUUAUUGAGUUAGUCAGGAAAAUCUGGAAUGAACCCACUGGGAGCAGCUGCCCUCUGGAAAGCUGGCAGAUCAAAAUUAGGAGAUUUAAAAAAACUACUAAAGGUUGGAACUCUAAUGAAGAAGCCAAUCUUAGGAGAUACAAAAGGAUUCUUCUGCUUGAGUUUGAUUCUCUAGAUAUUAAGGCUGAAACUUCUGACCUCUCUGAGGCUGAGACUAGUAGAUUGAACUUUGUCCAUGGGGAGCUUAAGAAAAUCUGGCUCUAA